rnacentral:rRNA from 1 species
UACGGGGGGGCAAGCGUUGUUCGGAAUUACUGGGCGUAAAGGGUUCGUAGGUGGCCAACUAAGUCAGACGUGAAAUCCCUCGGCUUAACCGGGGAACUGCGUCUGAUACUGGAUGGCUAGAGGUUGGGAGAGGGAUGCGGAAUUCCAGGUGUAGCGGUGAAAUGCGUAGAUAUCUGGAGGAACACCGGUGGCGAAGGCGGCAUCCUGGACCAAUUCUGACGCUGAGGAGCGAAAGCCAGGGGAGCAAACGGG